rnacentral:lncRNA from 1 species
AAAAGCUCAUCAACCUGUCCGAGGGAUGAUGAAGGCGAUGCCACAAUUGAGGGAACCGCCCUCUUACUCUUUUUUAGAUAAGAAUGCGAAAGACCCUGACCCUGCCAACCAAGCCCACUCAGAUAGACUAAGUAGACUAAAAAAAGUGCACAAGAAAGACUAAGGAAACAAAACCUUUUCUCGAUAACGCUGGGCCAAGUAGCGACACUUCACCCAGAUUCGAUCAUCACGUCAACUUGCUUUAUUCAACAAAGUGAUCAAGCUUCUUAGCCACCGGGGACCGGCCUCGUGAACGCAUUCGCUAAGGGCACUACUGGCCGGCUUUCUCAAUCUUCAAUCUAACUUCAGAAAUUGAAUAAGCCCACUUGACGAGAUUAGAUCUAAUUC